UGCAUGUGUGCGCUUGUGUGCACAUCCCUGUGUGUGCAUGUCCGUGCACAUGUGUGCUCUUGUAUGUGUGUGUGCGCAUCUGUAUGUGCAUGUGUGUGCACGUGUGUGUGCUUGUGUGUGCAUGUGAAUGUGCAUGAGUGUGUCCAUAUGUGCCAGUGUGUGCCUGUGUAUGUGUGUGCACGUAUGUGUGCGUAGAUGCACGUGUGUGCGUAUGCGUUUGUGCCUAUGCGUGUGCCGGUGCGUGCCCAUGCACUGACGGGGGUGCUCUGCCCGCCGCGGACCUGCUCCCAGGGACCUGAUUCCGAAGGUCGCACAGGCCAGCUUCUCGGCGCCCUGUGUCUCAGCUUCCACCCACCUAACCCGGCGGGCGUCUGGAGCUAGGCGGAGAAGCAGGGCUUGCUCCUGCGGGUUCGGGCCCGCCCGCAGCCAGCUCCGCGUGGACCUGGGCUCCAAGGCCUCGUGGCCCCCCGUCUGUGCCGGUGCCCGCCCCAGCUGCGCCAUCCCCAGCGGGCCAAGGAGCAUCCGUCCUGCACAGUUCCCGUGUGGGAUUCUCUGGGGCUCUCUGACACAAAACCAGACGCUGCCAUCAUUUUGCUCACACCGCUCUGGAUUGCUGGGCCACCCAGAAGCAAGGCCCCUCUUUCACUUGUCUGUGCCGAACUCCACUGAGAUAAACGGAGAUCUGGCACGGCAAGGACCUGCCUAAGAACUACCCAAAUCCCCCGAUUCACCGCAUUAAGGUGCUGUCCUGCCAGGGGGUUCACAAUAGCCAAUGCCUGCUAAAACAUUAAAGUUUAAAUUAUUAAAUAUUUAAAUAGAACAAACAGUAAAUUAUUGUAGAAUGUAUGUUUCUUUUCUGUGAUGUUGGAAAUGUCUUUUGAUGACGCACCACCUGCCCUUCUAAUCCUGCUCCUUCAGGUGACUGGCAGAUGAAGGUCUCAGGCCAGGGCCCCGCCUCCCCACUUCCCACUCUGUCUCUCUCACAACUCACAGCCAAGCAGAAUUCAAGCUUCUGCACAUGUGCACAUGAUCGUGGUGCUCGUGCAGCCACUUUAUAGCUGUAGAUGUCUUUGGCACAAGCUUUGGAGCCGGGCUGUCUGGCUGGAGCCCUGGUCUGGACAUUGGAUCAGAUCUGGGUCCCGGGCCAGUUCUCUGCCUUCUGAUCUGCACCUGUGAAGUGGAGAUAAUCACGGUUCCCCUCAACAGCCUUUCAGGGGGGCGCAAGAGUUAAUUCAUUAACAGCACUCGGAGCACACUGAAAAGGGCACAGCCAGCACUAAACUGAGCUCUGAAUCUCAGCCAUAGGUGGCCUUUUACAGCUAAAGACACAGGAUGUGAGGUUAAAACUCCAAAGAUGACCUCAAGUCUUCUUACCCGGCAGGCAGAUGAUUCACAGCUGGAAUUCUCCACCUACCCUCGGGCCAAUGCUCACCCGCCUUCCUUGAACCAUCAGAGCCCUGGAAUGCACAUCUUGGGGGUUUUAUCACAGUCUUGAGACGUCUUGAGUUAGUGAGCAGGCCUGCCAGCCCUCACUGGGCUCCACUAACUCAGCUCGCUGCGGCACGGGAGGGUGCCGCGUGGACCGAUCUAAUCUCCCUGCCUUCAUCACAAGGCACAUUUUACUCUCCUCGUAGAGAAACCUAAUUCGCUCAGGAUGAUUUGGAAAGACUGUUAUUUUGUGUUUUUAGGCUCAUGAAGCACAAUAUUCAGAUGCUAGAAAUAUUAUCCUUAGUGGGUAUAGUGGAAGAUUCUGAGUCUGACUUGGUGAUUUAACUUUUACCAUUUUUUUCCUACGAAGUAGGUAAAAUCCCUGGAAUUAUGGUUCCUUUUUCUCCUGCUCCUUUUGCUCUUACCACUGGGCCACUGACUAAACUUUGCGGACACUGGGCUCGUAAGGAAAGAAAAUGCUUGUCAUAUUGUUAUUGUUGGGCAGAGGCGUAGGCACUUUUAAUGUGAGCAAAGUCCCGAGAGUCUGCCACGCUGUCAGUCCCAUCCUUAAACUCGCUCCGGCCAAAGGGUGACCGUGGCCCUGUCACCUGGUCAGCGCAGUAGGUCUCCUUCACACUCUUUCUCACUGGCAGGCUCCGCUCUGGGCACUGCCAGCCCUUGUCACAUUUGUUUAGGCAGAUAACUUGACACCAUGUGUUUGGCAGGGAGCCUGUUGCUGUGGAUCCUUUGCAACUCCCAUGAUCACUCCAGUGUCCUAAGUUCUGCGCUGAAUAUUGCCACAUAACGUCCCAGGCAGGAGGCCCCAGCACAGCCUCACAGGGUGCAAGAUGGGGUGGCCCCAGGGUCAGCUCAAUCUUAGAAGAGGAUUUGGCUGGCGGAGCGAGGGGGGUGGGAAUGUGUUGCCCCGUGAACAGGGAGAAGAGGGGAUGAGGAAAGAAUGCCUUCAUCAGGAAGCCUGGUGUGAGUGGCAUCCAGUUUCCCACAGGAAGGUGUCAGUGGGCUCAGGAAACCAAUAAUGGCUUUUGUGACCUUCAGGUCUGGAAGCAGUUUCACUGGUUGAAGUCAUAUAAGUUCAGCUAAAUCUGCAUGUGUUGUAAAUGUUUAUCUGGCAGCCUGACAUGGUUGUUCCUGAAAUUAUAGGGUAGAGUCUUAUCUUUCCUAGCAUAUAAUUUCCUAAAUGCUUUUCUGGAUGGUGUUUAAGAUAAUAAAUAUGGCUGAGCUAUUGUUUGAUGCUGAGUGUUCUCAAGCUUCGGUUGGGAGAGAAGACUCUCCGGGACUGUGUUUCCCUGAGGCUGCAGGAGGCUGUCAGAGGCGGCUGCAGACGGAGCCCUGGUGGAGCGUAAACAGUGUGUCCUGGCCGAGCAAUGCAUUCCCUCCUCUUCCAGACGCUGGGCUGGACUGCUGCAGUCCGGCGAGCAGCAUUCCUCUUGGGAAUCGUGCAAGUGGGCAGUGGCAGUAGAGGACACGGACCACCUCAACGAGGCCACCCUUUGCCCUUCAGUGGCCACUUGGAGCCCGGCCACCCUCGGACAUGGCAGUGCAGAAGACAGCAGAGUACUAAGACGGGGACGCGUGCCUCAGUGGGGCAGGCAGAGAAAGAGAAGUGAUGGGGUGAGGCUGUCCCAGGCCACAGCUGGCGAGGGUGGCUCUUGUUGACAGCCCAAUCUGACCCCCCAUGGGUGAGUGGCUUUUUGUCCUGGGGUCCUCCUUUAUCCGCAGGGGACAGGAGCCAAGGUCCAGAGUGGAUGCUGCGGGACAGAUAGAAUCAAACCCUCAAUAUCUGUCCCUUCUUGUCAUGCUCACCUGUGAUGACUUUCACUUUGUAAAUGCAAGAUGAACAGUAUGACCAAUAACAAAUAAUGUUAGCAAUAUGCCACAAUAAAAGUUAUUGAAAGUCA